rnacentral:rRNA from 1 species
GACGAACGCUGGCGGCGUGCCUAAUACAUGCAAGUAGAACGCUGAAGGGAGAGCUUGCUCUUCUGGAUGAGUUGCGAACGGGUGAGUAACGCGUAGGUAACCUGCCUGGUAGCGGGGGAUAACUAUUGGAAACGAUAGCUAAUACCGCAUAACAUUGACUAUUGCAUGAUAGUUAAUUGAAAGGUGCAAAUGCACCACUACCAGAUGGACCUGCGUUGUAUUAGCUAGUUGGUGGGGUAACGGCUCACCAAGGCGACGAUACAUAGCCGACCUGAGAGGGUGAUCGGCCACACUGGGACUGAGACACGGCCCAGACUCCUACGGGAGGCAGCAGUAGGGAAUCUUCGGCAAUGGACGGAAGUCUGACCGAGCAACGCCGCGUGAGUGAAGAAGGUUUUCGGAUCGUAAAGCUCUGUUGUAAGAGAAGAACGAGUGUGAGAGUGGAAAGUUCACACUGAGACG